UGCAGUCGAGCGGAUGAAGGGAGCUUGCUCCUGGAUUCGCGGCGGACGGGUGAGUAAUGCCUAUGAGUCUGCCUGGUAGUGGGGGAUAACGUCCGGAAACGGGCGCUAAUACCGCAUACGUCCUGAGGGAGAAAGUGGGGGAUCUUCGGACCUCCCGCUAUCCGAUGAACCUAGGUCGGAUUAACUAGUUGGUGGGGUAACGGCCUACCCAGGCGACGAUCCAUCCCUGGUCUGAGAGGAUGAUCAAUCACACUGGAACUGAGACACAGUCCAGACUCCUACGGGAGGCAGCAGUGGGGAAUAUUGGACAAUGGGCGAAAGCCUGAUCCAGCCAUGCCGCGUGUGUGAAGAAGGUCUUCGGAUUGUAAAGCACUUUAAGUUGGGAGGAAGGGCAGUAAGUUAAUACCUUGCUGUUUUGACGUUACCAACACAAUAAGCACCGGCUAACUUCGUGCCAGCAGCCGCGGUAAUACGAAGGGUGCAAGCGUUAAUCGGAAUUACUGGGCGUAAAGCGCGCGUAGGUGGUUCAGCAAGUUGGAUGUGAAAUCCCCGGGCUCAACCUGGGAACUGCAUCCAAAACUACUGAGCUAGAGUACGGUAGAGGGUGGUGGAAUUUCCUGUGUAGCGGUGAAAUGCGUAGAUAUAGAUAAGGAACACCAGUGGCGAAGGCGACCACCUGGACUGAUACUGACCGCUGAUGUGCUAAAGCGUGGGUGAGCAGACAGGAUUAUAU
rnacentral:rRNA from 1 species